rnacentral:rRNA from 1 species
GACGAACGCUGGCGGCGUGCUUAACACAUGCAAGUCGAACGGAAAGGCCCUGCUUUUGUGGGGUGCUCGAGUGGGGAACGGGUGAGUAACACGUGAGUAACCUGCCCUUGACUUUGGGAUAACUUCAGGAAACUGGGGCUAAUACCGGAUAGGAGCUCCUGCUGCAUGGUGGGGGUUGGAAAGUUUCGGCGGUUGGGGAUGGACUCGCGGCUUAUCAGCUUGUUGGUGGGGUAGUGGCUUACCAAGGCUUUGACGGGUAGCCGGCCUGAGAGGGUGACCGGCCACAUUGGGACUGAGAUACGGCCCAGACUCCUACGGGAGGCAACAGUGGGGAAUAUUGCACAAUGGGCGGAAGCCUGAUGCAGCAACGCCGCGUGCGGGAUGACGGCCUUCGGGUUGUAAACCGCUUUCGCCUGUGACGAAGCGUGAGUGACGGUAAUGGGUAAAGAAGCACCGGCUAACUACGU